UGAUAGCAAAAGUCUAUUUAAAGCGGGGGAUUUUACAAUUCUCGUAUUCUGCAACAGGGUACGCUAUCACAAUGAAGUUGUGGACAUCUUUGUUAAUAUUUUGUUUCGUUGCUUUGGUGAGCAGUCAAGAGAAAUGUCGAGAGGAUGAAUACAAUCCCGGGCCGAACUGUGGCACGGAACCGACAUGUGCUCCGCCCAGUAGCCACUUCGCUCCGAAGACCGCCUGCAAGUGCUGGUGCAAGCCUGGGACUUUGAGGGUCUUCGAAACCAACGCCUGCGUACCGCUUGAGAAAUGCUAUGCGUAGGGUUAUCAUACCCAUCAGUAGCCAUACCCAGGGCAUUAGAUACUGACCUGGGACAGGCAUUUUUGAUAAUAAUAUCCUCUGAAAAAAUAAAAAUCAUCAUUUAAAUAAAAAAUAUUUGAUUAAUAAAUACUUAUCAUUAUAAUUA